GACGAACGCUGGCGGCGUGCCUAAUACAUGCAAGUCGAGCGGACGAUUCGAAAGCUUGCUUUUGUAUCGUUAGCGGCGGACGGGUGAGUAACACGUGGGCAACCUGCCCUGUAGACGGGGAUAACACCGAGAAAUAGGUGCUAACACCGGCUAACACGAAAUGUCGCAUGUCGUUUCGUUGAAAGGCGGCGCAAGCUGCCGUUACAGGAUGGGCCCGCGGCGCCUGAGCUAGUUGGUGAGGUAACGGCUCAACAAGGGGACGAUGCGUAGCAGCACAGAGAGGGUGAUACGCCACACUGGGACUGAGACACGGCCCAGACCCCUACGGGAGGCAGCAGUAGGGAAUCUUCCGCUAUGGGCGAAAGUCUGACGGAGCAGCGCCGCGUGAGCGAAGAAGGCCUGCGGGUCGUAAAUCUCUGUUGUUAGGGAAGAACAAGUAACGUAGUAACGGACGUUACUAGGACGGUACCAAACAAGAAGGCCACGGCUAACUACUU
rnacentral:rRNA from 1 species